rnacentral:lncRNA from 1 species
CCUGUUCAACUCCCCUCGCCUUGUAAGGACACCAGUUACUGGAUUAGAGCCCACCCUAGUGACCUCAGCUUGGCUCAGCCCCGUCCGCAGAGACCCGUGUCCAGCUGAGCUCAGGCUCGCAGGGAGCUGCGAGCAGGACGGAACCUGGGGACACAGUUCAGUCCACAGCAGGACGGAGAUGCCGUUCUCGAGGCCCUCGGGGUCCCAGAACGUGAUCCUGACGUACAGCUGGCCUAGAUAUGACGUGUGUCCGAGGGGGAGAGACGCCCUGCAGUCUGAAUUGGAGACCACUCAGAAGCUCCUGGAAGAUCUCAGCAUGGGCAAUUCAGAAGAAAACGUGCAGGUGCUGGACCUACUGGGCGAACUCAAGGACGUGGCCGUGAAAAAGGACCUUGAGCUCCGAAGGAGCUUCGCCCAGGUGCUGGAACUCUCCGCCGAGGCGAGCAAAGAGGCCGCCUUGAUAAACCAGGGCGUCUGGGAAGAGGCCCAGGGCCUGGCGACCCCCAGCCAGUGGUACUUCAGCGAGGACAGCACCUGCGAGGAGUCCCAGGGAGCAACUAAGAGCGCAGCCCUGCCAGAGGACAGCGCGCCGCGCGCCCCGUGAGUCCACGCUCACGCCGCGCUCACCAGCCCGAGCGGAGACCUUCCUCCAGGCAGACGAGAAGAAAGCCUGCUGUGCCUCUGUGCCAGCGGGGUCUGCAGUGACGCGUCGGUGACAUUCAGGACACUCGAGCACUUGAUACACUACCUUGUUUGAUACUUAAAAUAAACCCGUUUGCAACUGGAGCCUUCGCACUCUAUGCAGGGGAGGGUUGGAAGGCCCGUGUUGUCUCAGGUUCCUGUGAGCGGCUGAUCCUGGGCCUUGGGACCUCCAAGACAUGACAGCGUGCCGCUGUCAAGAUGAUUUCUCGUCCUUCCGCCACGAGGGUGGUUUUGAUGACUCUGAUAGCAAGACAGGGAUUGGCUGACAAGUGGACAGUUCUCGGUCCCAAGUUCCAGUAGUUGUUGCUGGGAGGUGCUCACAGGCUGGGGCUGGGGCCCAGAGAAUUCUUCCAGGCAGCUCUCCAGCUUCUUCCCUGCUCUGUGUGGGCUCGGGGGUCUCACUGGUCCUCAUCGCACUUUCCAGUUACUCGUGCACGAGGGCAGAUGUCUACGCCUCUGACUGACAUCUCCAGGUGGGGGAGACAAACAGGGUCACAC